AGAGUUUGAUCCUGGCUCAGGAUGAACGCUAGCGGGAGGCCUAACACAUGCAAGUCGAACGGGAUUGAGAGCUUGCUCUCAUGAGCGUGGCGCACGGGUGAGUAACGCGUAUGCAACCUGCCUUUAACUGAGGGAUAGCCCAUAGAAAUGUGGAUUAAUACCUCAUAGUUCUUUUGAGUCGCAUGAUUUGGAAGAUAAAGCUCCGGCGGUUAAAGAUGGGCAUGCGUGACAUUAGCUAGUUGGUGAGGUAACGGCUCACCAAGGCUACGAUGUCUAGGGGUUCUGAGAGGAUGAUCCCCCACACUGGUACUGAGACACGGACCAGACUCCUACGGGAGGCAGCAGUGAGGAAUAUUGGUCAAUGGGCGCAAGCCUGAACCAGCCAUCCCGCGAGCAGGAUGACGGCCCUAUGGGUUGUAAACUGCUUUUAUACACCAAGAAAAAUCCGAACGUGUUCGGACCCGACGGUAGUGUAUGAAUAAGCAUCGGCUAACUCCGUGCCAGCAGCCGCGGUAA
rnacentral:rRNA from 1 species